rnacentral:lncRNA from 1 species
GUGCCCUUGCACGUCAGGCCAUCAGCCAACCUAAUGAUAUUUCCCCUGCGAGGGUCCUUUCCCAACAGACACGUCUGAGCGAGAACAGCGAUCUGUAUGUGACCUGCAGCACAUUCGGGUUAAAGAAACCCUCCUGGAUUUUUGUUUAUUUGUGUAAGGACGGCGUCGGAAUCCGAAAAAUGGUGCAGAAGGCAGAUCAAAUCGAUAGCACCUUCAUCGUGAGCGGAGUCGGCCCUGCUGACAGUGGAAACUACAGCUGCGGUUACUCCAGCGAAGAGUAUGCUCCUUCCGAAGUAGCAGCUCGAGGACACAACAUCAUCCAGAUUCUGGUUAUAGCUAAUUUUCUCCCAGCACACAUCACGUUGGCGCGGCCGUCCGCAGUCAGCGAGGGCGACGCUGUCGAAUUCAGAUGCACUGUGCCUGACACCCUGCAAACACUCGGCGGAUGUCAACUCAUCCCGUCUUAGCUGAGGAAGAACGAGACCAUCCUCCAAGUGCAAGCGUUUCAUGUCAAACGGAUGGAGACGACUUUCACCAUCGAGCGUGCCGUCGCGAGGGAUUCGGGUCCCUACACUUGCGUGGUGCUGCCGUCUGCAUGCAUCCGAGAGCACGAAAACACUCUCAAUGGAAGUAAUGCAGUGUUGCUCGAGGUCAAGGCGAGCGUCCUUCUCCGAGUGAUUGUCAGCUGUGGCGUGAUAACCCUGUUGUUGAUGGGUCUGUUGUGGAUCGCAAACAGACACGGUUGGAUGAUAAACCAUUUUUCUUCGUACAAUCCAGGCACAACGAGCCAACAGGCAGACACAGACAUGUGGGAGGAAGAGCAGGAGCAGACGGAGGGAGACUAUCUGGAAGCAGAAGACGGAGAAUCUCUCCGCAUGGAGGAGGAGGAAGAGUAUCAGAAUGAAAUUGAAGCUGAUGAAUUCUUCAACGGUUGUGAUACAGAGGGAGAAGCAGUGUACUCUGUCCCAGAUGAUUCACCGAGUCGAGCAUCUUGGUAUGCUGCAUCCUUCAAGAAGAAAAAACACAUGAUCAACCGCCCGCCUGGUUUUACAGUCGGUUAAAAGCAGAACUGGCACCCGCUUGUGUCGCAAGUGUGUCAGAAAUAUUAAGAUAUACAUCCGUGUGUUUGUAUACAUGAAAAAUGAAAGCGUUUGAGUCAUCAUUCUGUGGAUUCAUUUUAUUCUGAAUUAAACAGUGUAGAAUACAAAGGUUUGCUCUCCAGUCUCUUUUGUUGAGUCCACUUUCCAGACACAUACAGUGUAGCACGUACACAAUUAUGCUUUUUUGAAUUAUAAGGAUUUUCACUCAACUCAAACCCAGUUUUUGAUACUAUCGAUAGUCGUCAUAUUUAAUGCCGUAUCCAUUAAAUGCAUCUGCAUUCAGUAAUUACAACGAUGUUGGUGUUCUCAUUGUUAGUGGCUGGGUGCAAAUUGCCAAUAUGCACACGAGGGAUUCGCAGGAAAUUAUACAUGCGUGUAAUCCAGCAGAACUCUUUGUAACUCACUGAUAACAGCCGAGCCGGAGCUGUCGCUAGCCAUGCCGACUCAACAUCACCUACUGCAGUUGCUUCAUAUUAACAGCAUCCAGCCAGCGGAAUACAGGGUGGGCUUUUGUUGUAAUGUAAUGUAUUUGUCCUCUCGGACACGGGACUUCAGCUUCAUCAAUAAUGUGUCUGCAAGACAAGAUUCCUGUGCAUCACAAAAGUAUUUUAUGAUUCUGAAGAUGUCUUUCUAUUUUAGAUCCAAAGGGGUUUUAGUAAUGACUCACGCAACACAGACUUUAACAGAGAGAAGGUGGCAGAGGGAAUAUUGAUUGAGACAAACGUUGUGCAUACAAGUGUCCUCUGAGACAAAAGCUCCCCAAUCUGUGUGCGCAGUCAAAAUAUUUUCAUGCACUUUUAUUAAAUGUGCAUCAAAUGUCUGGAUGCUGCACACCGGUCAUUUCAAAUAUGUGACAUAAUAUGUGAUUUUUGAGAACCAUUAAAAAACCGCCCAUCUCCCUCUUUGUUGUCUGCCCGUGUUAAAGGUCAACCCCGGAGUUCGGUGACCCUCUGUGACAGGACGUCGCGCAACGUCAGAGUUUCGGGCUGAGGGACAGAACAGAUCAAGAGGAGCGUCCAGUGGGUUAGUCGGGGCUCCUCUCCUCCCCGCUGCCAUUACUGCAAUGGAGAAGCCUCUACUUUGUUAUCAGACAAAGGCAGCGCCUGUGUGCAUUUCAGUCUACCAGUCUUUUUUAGAUUACUACCACCAGAUGGAGCCACAGCUUCAAAUAUCAUAUUAUAUCGCUGCAAAAAGUGGAUUUUACGGUCACUUAAACUGCUCUAACUGAGUCUGUUGGGUGUAUUCCCUGUGAUUUUUUUUUUCUAAACAUGCAUGUAUCGUGUUAGAUACAAACUCUCUGUACUUCAUGGUAGUCAGCUGGAAUUUGUAGUAACUUUCUUGUAAUGUGUGUCUGCUGCAUGCAUUGAUCUUGAAUGAGAUAGUGAAUGUAGAUGUGCCUGCCAAAACUUAAUCUAGAUUGUAUCACACUGUUUGAUUCACCCUGCCCUUCACUGGUCCAUUAUCUUUGUUACACAACCAAACUUUACCCUGCAUGGAUUCCAGUUAUGUAACAAAGGUCUGGAUUUGUAAUACCCGUGCUGCACCUCAACAGGCACUCUGACCUAGUGUUAGUUUCCUCAAAGAACUAAGGGAGAUAACAAUUUAAAUUACCCCGCAUUCGAUUAAAUUGAGCUAAAAAUCUUAAACGACGUGAUGGUAUUUUUAGUAGAAAGAGCAGGACAGAAUU